rnacentral:rRNA from 1 species
UACGUAGGGUGCAAGCGUUGUCCGGAAUUAUUGGGCGUAAAGAGCGUGUAGGCGGCUCGAUUAGUCCGCUGUGAAAGCCCUGGGCUCAACCUGGGAAUUGCAUUGGAUACUGGCAGGCUAGAGUGCGGUAGAGGAUGGCGGAAUUCCCGGUGUAGCAGUGAAAUGCGUAGAGAUCGGGAGGAACAUCUGUGGCGAAGGCGGCCAUCUGGACCAGCACUGACACUGAGGCACGAAAGCGUGGGGAGCAAACAGG